AAGCAGGAUUUAGACUACAAUACAUCUGUUCAGUGCUGUGUUGUCAUUCCCCCUGCUAAUAAUAAAGUUGUUUCUUAUCUAUCCCUGUCUGCUGAACUCUUGUAGCAGCCAAGGAUGCUUGGUCUCAUAAAC
rnacentral:snoRNA from 1 species